GAUGAACGCUGGCGGCGUGCCUAAUACAUGCAAGUCGAGCGAACAGACGAGGAGCUUGCUCCUCUGACGUUAGCGGCGGACGGGUGAGUAACACGUGGAUAACCUACCUAUAAGACUGGGAUAACUUCGGGAAACCGGAGCUAAUACCGGAUAAUAUAUUGAACCGCAUGGUUCAAUAGUGAAAGACGGUUUUGCUGUCACUUAUAGAUGGAUCCGCGCCGCAUUAGCUAGUUGGUAAGGUAACGGCUUACCAAGGCAACGAUGCGUAGCCGACCUGAGAGGGGGAUCGGCCACACUGGAACUGAGACACGGUCCAGACUCCUACGGGAGGCAGCAGUGGGGAAUAUUGCAAAAUGGGCGAAAGCCUGACGAAGCAACGCCGCGUGGUUGAUGAAGGUCUUCGGAUCUUAAAACUCUUUUAUUGGGGAAGAAAAAAUGUAAAAGAAACUAUGCGCUUCUUGACGGUACCUAAUAAAAAAGCCCCGGCUAACUAUGUG
rnacentral:rRNA from 1 species